GAAGGAUCAUUAUUGAAUUAUGUUUUCUAGAUGGGUUGUAGCUGGCCCUCUGGGGCAUGUGCACGCCUGUCCGGACUUCAUUUUCAUCCACCUGUGCACCUAUUGUAGUCUCUGUCGGGUUGCAUCGAGGAAGUGGUCACCCUAUCAGCAGUUGCUGGAUGUGAGGACUUGCAAUGCAGCAGUGUGUUGCUGUCCUUUACUUGGCCAUGGAAUCGGUUUCCUGUCAGAGUCUAUGUCAUUUAUUAUACCCUNUAGAAUGUCGUUGAAUGUCUAUACAUGGGCUUGUAUGCCUAUGAAAAUUGUAAUACAACUUUCAGCAACGGAUCUCUUGGCUCUCGCAUCGAUGAAGAACGCAGCGAAAUGCGAUAAGUAAUGUGAAUUGCAGAAUUCAGUGAAUCAUCGAAUCUUUGAACGCAUCUUGCGCUCCUUGGUAUUCCGAGGAGCAUGCCUGUUUGAGUGUCAUUAAAUUCUCAACUCUCUUAUACUUUGGUGUAGAAGAGGGCUUGGAUUGUGGAGGCUUGCUGGCCGCUUGCUGGGGGUCAACUNCUCUGAAAUGCAUUAGCGGAACCGUUUGCGAUCUGNCACAAGUGUGAUAAAAUAUCUACACUGGCNANGGGAUCGCUCUCUGGUGGUCAACUUUCAAUCGCUCANGACAAAUUUUCUGNAAGCUUGACCUCAAAUANGUAGGACUACCCGNUGAACUUAA
rnacentral:rRNA from 1 species